AAGGGGUGCAGCAGGCGCGAAGAUUCCGCAAUGCCCGAAAGGGCGACGGAGUGAACCCGAGUGCCACCCGCUGAGGGUGGCUGUUCCCCUGUGUAAAAAGCAGGGGGUAGAAAGGGGAGGGCAAGGCUGGUGGCAGCCGCCGCGGUAAAACCAGCUCCCCGAGGGGUUCCCACGCAUACUGGGCCUAAAGCGUCCGUAGCCGGCCCUGCAAGUCUGCAGUUAAAUCCGCCUGUAGACAGGCGGGCUGCUGCAGAUACUGCAGGGCUAGGGAGCGGGAGGAGCCGGGGGUAUUCCCGGGGGAGCGGUAAAAUGCGUAGAUCCCGGGAGGACCACCAGUGGCGAAGGCGCCCGGCUUGAACGCGUCCGACGGUGAGGGACGAAAGCUGGGGGAGCAAACCGGAUUAGAUACCCGGGUAGUCCCAGCCGUAAACGAUGCCGGCUAGGUGUCAGGUCAACUACGUGUUGACCUGGUGCCGAAUGGAAGCAAAUAAGCCCGCCGCCUGGGGAGUACGGCCGCAAGGCUGAAACUUAAAGGAAUUGGCGGGGGAGCACACAAGGGGUGGAUGCUGCGGUUUAAUUGGAGUCAACCCCGGGAACCUUACCAGGGGAGACAGCAGGAUGAAGGCCAGAUUGAAGGUCUUGCCGGACGAGCUGAGAGGAGGUGCAUGGCCGUCGCCAGCUCGUGCCGUGAGGUGUCCUGUUAAGUCAGGCAACGAGCGAGACCCCCGCCCCUAGUUGCUACCAGAACUCGGAAGGGUUCUGGGCACUCUAGGGGGACUGCCGCCGAUAAGGCGGAGGAAGGAGGGGGCUACGGCAGGUCAGUAUGCCCCGAAUCCCCUGGGCCACACGCGGCAUACAAUGGCAGGGACAAUGGGUUGCCACCCCGAAAGGGGGAGCUAAUCCCCAAACCCUGCCUCAGUUGGGAUCGAGGGUUGCAAC
rnacentral:rRNA from 1 species